GAAUGUACUAAUGUAUUUUCCACUGGAGGAGGUGAAGAAUUAGCUAAACAAUGUCAAGUCCCUUUCCUAGGACGUAUACCAAUUGAUCUAUUGCUGGUUCAAGAUGUUGAUAAAGGAUUACACUCUAAAGAUAAAGAAUAUUCAUUAACCACCAGACAAUCAAUAAGUGACAUUAUUAAUAAAUUAUUAAUUAAUUAGUUUUAUUAAUUAACUUUAUAUUGUCACUAACCAUAUACCA